rnacentral:rRNA from 1 species
UACAGAGGUCUCAAGCGUUGUUCGGAUUCAUUGGGCGUAAAGGGUGCGUAGGUGGCGGGGUAAGUCAGGUGUGAAAUCUCGGAGCUCAACUCCGAAACUGCACUUGAUACUGCCUUGCUCGAGUACUGGAGAGGAGAUUGGAAUUUACGGUGUAGCAGUGAAAUGCGUAGAUAUCUGGAGGAAUACCGGUGGCGAAGGCGGCUAUCUGGCCAAACAUUGACGCUGAGAGACGAAAGCAUGGGGAUCAAACAGG